AUUGAACGCUGGCGGCAGGCCUAACACAUGCAAGUCGAACGAGUGGCGGACGGGUGAGUAAUGUCUGGGAAACUGCCCGAUGGAGGGGGAUAACUACUGGAAACGGUAGCUAAUACCGCAUACCAUCGGAUGUGCCCAGAUGGGAUUAGCGAGUAGGUGGGGUAACGGCUCACCUAGGCGAAGAUCCCUAGCUGGUCUGAGAGGAUGACCAGCCACACUGGAACUGAGACACGGUCCAGACUCCUACGGGAGGCAGCAGUGGGGAAUAUGGCACAAUGGGCGCAAGCCUGAUGCAGCCAUGCCGCGUGUAUGAAGAAGGCCUGCGGGUUGUAAAGUACUGUCAGCGGGGAGGCGUUACCCGCAGAAGAAGCACCGGCUAACUCCGUGCCAGCAGCCGCGGUAAUUC
rnacentral:rRNA from 1 species